GACGAACGCUGGCGGCGUUCUUAACACAUGCAAGUCGAACGGAAAGGCCCUGCUUUUGUUGGGUGCUCGAGUGGCGAACGGGUGAGUAACACGUGAGUAACCUGCCCUUUACUUUGGGAUAACUUCAGGAAACUGGGGCUCAUACCGGAUAGGAGCUCCUGCUGCCUGGUGGGGGUUGGAAAGUUUCGGCGGUUGGGGAUGGACUCGCGGCUUAUCAGCUUGUUGGUGGGGUAGUGGCUUACCAAGGCUUUGACGGGUAGCCGGCCUGAGAGGGUGACCGGCCACAUUGGGACUGAGAUACGGCCCAGACUCCUACGGGAGGCAGCAGUGGGGAAUAUUGCACAAUGGGCGGAAGCCUGAUGCAGCAACGCCGCGUGCGGGAUGACGGCCUUCGGGUUGUAAACCGCUUUCGCCUGUGACGAAGCGUGAGUGACGGUAAUGGGUAAAGAAGCACCGGCUAACUACGUG
rnacentral:rRNA from 1 species